rnacentral:lncRNA from 10 species
GGCUGCAGUGAGCUGCGAUCAUGCCACUGCACUCCAGCCUGGGCCACAGAGUGAGACUCCGUACCCCCACCCCCAACAAAAAAGAAAAAAAGAAAAAGAAAAAUUAGCAUUCCCCCCUCCCCUCUGAUCUUCCUCUUUCAAUAACUCUAAAUUAGUUCUUGCUACUUUCACUCGUUCAGGUUGACAGACUCCCUGAGACAUGCAGACGUGACUUCCUAAGCAUCAUUCGUGCGUCCAUCCCAGCCCUGCCGGACCAUGUCUGACCUGGGCUCAGGAUGGCACUGGCACCCAGGGGUGAUUUAGGGGUUAGGUUUCAGCGGGCUCUACCUGAGGUGGGCUCAGGUCACAGAGCACAGCCAGGAAGGAGAACCAAGCUCUUCUAGAAGUGUAUGGAAAGAGUUCCAGGAGGAAGAGCUGCCAGGCUGGGCCUGGAGUUGGCCAGGUACUGGGGUGGGGGAGGUGGGCUCCAGUGCUACGGCCAACCUCAGUGAUGACGCUUCCCAGGUCGCAGCCUUCUCCUCUACUCCCACCCUGCCGCUUGCAGCCCCUCCACCUACCCCACCUCUAGCCUCCCCUUGCUCCCCUCCCCUUCCAGGGCACUCUCAAGGACUCUAGCCCCCAAGCUCCCUGCGUCCGCACACUUCUCUGAGCAUCCCACCCUGAUGCUUUGAUAGACAUGGGCUGGCCUAGGCCCUGCCCCUUCUUCAGUCUUCUCCAGUGUGGGGACGCCAUUUCCUCUCCUGCUAUCAGCAACCCAGGCCUGGGAGACGUGGAGUCUGUCCUUAGAGACAGGUCUCUAAGUUCUGUCCCCCGCUUAGAGCAUUUCUCCUUUCCUUCCAGCUGUUCCCUCUCUCUAAACCCCUGACUCUGGUCUUGGGAGGACCGUGGAGCCUGUCUCACAGCUGUGAGUCCACUCUCUGGCUGGCACCUUCCUCUUCCCUCCUCCCUCAGAAGUGGCCCCUCCGGGCUCUGGUGCAUCUUCUCUCUCCUCAAGGACCUGUUCCCAUACCUCCUGCUUCCCUCUGCUCCCUCUCCUGGGGGC